UGACCAAGGGGCCGGGAUGCGUUGAUCGAAUGGAUCGGCGUGACCUAGGAGGUACAGGGAGUACCUCCGCCAAGGGCCGGGUCAGGCAAGCU
rnacentral:ncRNA from 1 species